AACGAACGCUGGCGGCAGGCCUAACACAUGCAAGUCGAGCGGGACCUUCGGGUCUAGCGGCGGACGGGUUAGUAACGCGUGGGAACGUGCCCAAAGGUACGGAAUAGCCUCGGGAAACUGAGAGUAAUACCGUAUGUGCCCCUCGGGGGAAAGAUUUAUCGCCUUUGGAUCGGCCCGCGUUUGGAUUAGGUAGUUGGUGGGGUAAUGGCCUACCAAGCCGACGAUCCAUAGCUGGUUUGAGAGGAUGAUCAGCAACACUGGGACUGAGACACGGCCCAGACUCCUACGGGAGGCAGCAGUGGGGAAUCUUAGACAAUGGGGGAAACCCUGAUCUAGCCAUGCCGCGUGAGCGAUGAAGGCCUUAGGGUUGUAAAGGCUCUUUCAGAUGGGAAGAUAAUGACGGUACCAUCAGAGAAGCCCCGGCUAACUCCGUG
rnacentral:rRNA from 1 species